GUGCUCACUUCGGCAGCAUAUAUACUAAAAUUGGAAUGAUACAGAGAAGAUUAGCAUGGCCCCUGUGCAAGGAUGACAUGAAAAUGUCAUCGUGAAGUGUUCCAUAUUUUU
rnacentral:snRNA from 1 species